rnacentral:rRNA from 1 species
CCCUUAGAUGUUCUGGGCGGCCCGCGCACUACAUUGGCACUGGCAACAAGAUCCUAGAUCUGGUAUUUCGGGGUAUUCUACCAACUGGUGUCGUGACUGGGAUUAACCCCUGCAAUUAUUGGUUAUGAACGAGGAAUUCCUUGUAAUCACGGUUUAUCAACCCGUGUUGAAUGCGUCCCUGCCCUUUGUACACACCGCCCGUCGCUCCUACCGAUGAAUCGUCCGGUGAAGUUCAUGGAGUCGCGGCUGCUCCAACUGUUUUCGAAGUGAAAUGGACCUCAUGAUUUAGAGGAAGGAGAAGUCGUANCA